GAUGAACGCUGGCGGCGUGCCUAAUACAUGCAAGUCGAGCGAACGGACGAGAAGCUUGCUUCUCUGAUGUUAGCGGCGGACGGGUGAGUAACACGUGGAUAACCUACCUAUAAGACUGGGAUAACUUCGGGAAACCGUAGCUAAUACCGGAUAAUAUUUUGAACCGCAUGGUUCAAAAGUGAAAGACGGUCUUGCUGUCACUUAUAGAUGGAUCCGCGCUGCAUUAGCUAGUUGGUAAGGUAACGGCUUACCAAGGCAACGAUGCAUAGCCGACCUGAGAGGGUGAUCGGCCACACUGGAACUGAGACACGGUCCAGACUCCUACGGGAGGCAGCAGUAGGGAAUCUUCCGCAAUGGGCGAAAGCCUGACGGAGCAACGCCGCGUGAGUGAUGAAGGUCUUCGGAUCGUAAAACGCUGUUAUUAGGGAAGAACAUAUGUGUAAGUAACUGUGCACAUCUUGACGGUACCUAAUCAGAAAGCCACGGCUAACUACGUG
rnacentral:rRNA from 1 species